AUUUGCACACAUUUUUACGGGAAGUCGUACGCGUACUUUAUUUGCCAGCAGAAGAGAGCGCGAUAGAGAGCAAAUUUUGACAGUUAGAAAAUAGAGAAGCUGCAAAUUUCUACUGGGACUUUUUUUUUGCCAGCAGAAAUUUGCAACUUUGAACAUAUGUUUUGUAAAGGUGAGCUGUUUUAUGAAAAGCAGCCGUUACAUGAAAAUACAAAAGCAAACGCCAAAAUGGAUCGAAAAGGUAGAGAUUCAAGGUUGCAGCCAGUGUUCAGGUACAGAAAAAUCGCCAAAUUAUGUAAUUUUACCUCAAACCGGUUGUUAUACAUUAGAAGACACCAAGAAAAGAGCAAUUAUCGGUUUCUCAUAUGUUUUGAUGCAAUCAUCCUCGCUGGAGAGCUAUGAUGAAACCAACACUGUUCCUUUGAAUUUGUUGAGGGAAGAAGCUGCUGCCAUGGCUCUAGCUGGGCAGUAAAACAAGUGACUCACAGUGGGAUUAGACAAAAAUAGUUUGCCAAUUAUAAACGAAUAUAGAUACAUGACUAAAUAGAAAGCUCCCUUAGCCUCACAUCAGUGGCCGUAGCAAUUUAUCUAGCCACAAUAUCCAGAAGCAUUAGAUGGUUAGUCCAAGGUUUCUUUGUCAGCAAGGGAGUACGUUGUUUCUACUUUUGUGUACGGGUGAUGGCAUGUAAAGCAGUUGUAGUCCUAUGCAGCCUUCGAAAUGCAUGCUGAUGCUCGGCGAAUGGAAAUUGUCCAACCAGAGGAGCGGGAGGAGUAGUCCCUCAUGCGUCUUGGCUACUGAUGAGAGAUGGGAGAUCGGUCUGUAUGACUCCCUUCAGGUUUCAGUAGCGGGUUCAGACUGCCCAUCUUCCAAACAUCGGGUUCUAUUAUAGUGUUCAGAUAGGCUGAGGACAGUUGUAAGGUAAUCGACUCCAGGCAGAUACAGAUUCUUCAGCAUCAGUGCAGAGAUUCUGUCUGGAACCAGCGCCUUGCGCGACUUGCCGCCAUGGAUGACAUUCGUAGCUUCGUGCACGGUUGUUGUUGUUGUUGUAGUAGUGUGUUUUACACUGAAAAACGUAGGGAAUAAGUGCGAUUUGAGACCUAGGCUCAUGCCGUGUUUGGUCUUGGCGGUGGUGCGGCCGGUCUUGGCUAACAGCUGCCACGUUCGGUGAUGGAUUUAUAUACGAUAUGUCACAUGUUUGCAAUCUUAACAGGUUGAAUAUGUUGUUGUAAGAUUUGUGUCUGGGGCAAUGGGAACCACUGCGACUGCAUUACUAGAGGUUAUGUUUGGAAUUCAGCCUAUGGACUUGUUCGUAGUUAACCAGCGGGACAUACACUUUUAUUGGAUAGUACCACUGUGGUCUCUCAGGCCGACUUCUAGAUAGGAAUGGGCGUAGUAGAUAAGGGGCUGCACGUAAGGUUGCCUAUCCUGGCGGAGAGGAAUAGAAGGCGGGUUAGGUUUUCAGACAUUAACAUGUUUACAGAGGCCACCGUAGUGCAGCCUGGAUUGCUAUCCCCUCCUAUUGCUGGCGACAUUUGUGAGGUAUAUUGUCAUGUGAAAAAAACGCGCUCGGCUACCGCAGUUGCCAACGGUUUCAUUCGGAGACCUUUAGUCUAUUGUGUUCGUCAUAGAAAGAAAGGAAAUAAGAAAGAGAGAGAGAGAGACGAAAGUAGUUAGAAUAAGUAAAAAGGCGUUAAGUUCGGCCGGGACGAACUUUGGAUACCCACCACCUCGGGCACAUAUGUAAACCACCUUUCGUCAAAAUCCGUUGAAAAAUGCAUACCUUAUGCCUCAUAGCAGCUAUAUCAAAAUAUGAUCCGAUUUAGACCAAAUACUAAUAAAUAAUUCAAUUGUGUAUAACAAAAUAUUGACCUUUUUAGUGGCUAUAUCUAGAAACAAAUCGAUCUGAACCAUAUACGACACGGAUGUCGAAAAGCCUAGCAUAAGUCACUAUGUCAAAUUUCAGUGAAAUCGGAUUUUAAAUGCCCCUUUUAUGGGCCCAAAAUCUUAAAUCGAAAGAUCGAUCUAUAUAGCAGCUAUAUCCAAAUCUGAACCGAUCUAGGCCAAAUUGAAGAAGGAUGUCGACUGGCCUAACAUAACUCACUGUUCCGAAUUUCAGCUAAAGAAGGAUGUCGAAGGGCCUAACACAACUCACUGUUCCAAAUUUUGGCCUAAUCGAACAAUAAAUGCGCCUUUUAUGGGCCCAAGACCUUAAAUCGAGAGAUCGAUCUAUAUGGCAGCUAUAUCCAUAUCGGAACCGCUCUAGGCCAAAUUGAAGAAGGAUGUCGACUGGCCUAACACAACUCACUGUUCCGAAUUUCAGCUAAAUCACAUAAUAAAAGUGGUUUUUAUGGGCCUAAGACCCUAAAUCGGCGGAUCGGUCUAUAUGACAGCUUUAUCCGAAUCUGGACCGAUGUGGACCAAAUUGAAGCAGGAUGUCGAAAGGCCUAAUAUAACUUACUGUCCCAAAUUUCAGCAAAAUCUGAUAAUAAAUGUGGCUUUUUUGGGCCUAAAACCCUAAAUCGGCGGAACUGUCUAUAUGGGGGCUAUAUCAAGAUAUAGUCCGAUAUAGCCCAUCUUCGAACCUAACCUGCUUAUGAACAAAAAAGAUUCUGUGCAAAGUUUCAGCUCAAUAUCUCUAUUUUUAAAAGCGGUAGCGUGAUUUCAACAGACAGACGGACGGGCAUGGCUAGAUCGUCUUAGAUUUUAACGCUGAUCAAGAAUAUAAAUACUUUAUAGGGUCGGAAAUGGAUAUUUCGAUGUGUUGCAAACGGAAUGACAAAAUGAAUAUACUUCCAUCCUUCGGUGGUGGGUAUAAAAAGGCCUGAUAAAGUAAGGAUAUUUUAAUAUUUUUACAGAUAAAUCGAUGAUGGAUAGCGGAACUGAACGUGAAAAUACUCCUCGAGGUCUCUCUACAUAUGAGGGAUGACUGCAGCAUCUUCAACCGGUUUGAUAGAAUUCUUAAAGACUCUUCUGAGUACGAGCAUAGAAACUAAGAUGGUGCGUUGCACCCAUGGACUCUUGAGCGACUGUAUAGGCGCCCAAAUUAAUCCUUUGUCGUAUUCCUUGUAAUAAGGAUGUGAGAGGCAAGAGAGGGAGAAAAGUUUUUACUGAACCCGAUAACUGGGGUAUUAAUACGCCUCUCUUAAAUGGCGAUUAUGGACUUGGAUAAGACCGAUUACGAAAGAACUCAGCAGUGUCUUCCGACAAAAUUUUUAUUUUAUCGAAUGAUUUGCCUAGCUUUUGUUACUCAUUACCGUCAAGAUCAUCGGUUAAAAUAUGUGAGACCCCCACCACGAACCCCAUAGUAUCGGACCAGGUUCCAGACAAGACGACAUAUUUCCUCGGACUUUUAAUAUCCUACUUUGAGCAUUACACAGACUAGACAAGAAACCAGAAGCCACAAGCUGUAAGCAUGUGCUGAUAACAGCAGAAUAGUCAUCCUAUGGCAGCCGGUUGUACGUAUCGGGUGGACCCGAUGAAGUACUUCAUCGGCAAGGACUGCCGCCCUAGUGAUAACACACUGCUACAACAACAACAGAAUAGUGGAUAGUAGUUAAACCACCAUAAAAAUUAAUCGGCCCCUAAAAUUUCCCUUUGUCGAUUUACUUACCCAAUUGGAAUUA